rnacentral:rRNA from 1 species
AUUGAACGCUAGCGGGAUGCCUUACACAUGCAAGUCGAACGGAGUGGCGAACGGGUGAGUAAUGUCUCGGAAUCUGCCCAGUAGCGGGGGAUAACGACGCGAAAGCGUAGCUAAUACCGCAUACUAUUGGAUGAGCCGAUAUCGGAUUAGCUAGUUGGUGGGGUAAAGGCCUACCAAGGCGACGAUCCGUAGCUGGUUUGAGAGGACGACCAUCCACAGUGGGACUGAGACACGGCCCAGACUCCUACGGGAGGCAGCAGUGGGGAAUUUUGGACAAUGGGGGAAACCCUGAUCCAGCCAUGCCGCGUGUGUGAAGAAGGCCGUCGGUUUGUAAAGCACUUUUGGUAGGAAAGCGGUACCUGCAGAAUAAGCACCGGCGAACUUCGUGCCAGCAGCCGCGGUAAUUC